GACGAACGCUGGCGGCGUGCUUAACACAUGCAAGUCGAGCGGUAAGGCCCUUUCGGGGGUACACGAGCGGCGAACGGGUGAGUAACACGUGGGCGACCUACCCUCAGCUUCGGGAUAAGCCUGGGAAACUGGGUCUAAUACCGGAUAUGACCUUCCCUCGCAUGGGGGUUGGUGGAAAGUUUUUUCGGCUGGGGAUGGGCCCGCGGCCUAUCAGCUUGUUGGUGGGGUGAUGGCCUACCAAGGCGACGACGGGUAGCCGGCCUGAGAGGGCGACCGGCCACACUGGGACUGAGAUACGGCCCAGACUCCUACGGGAGGCAGCAGUGGGGAAUAUUGCGCAAUGGGCGGAAGCCUGACGCAGCGACGCCGCGUGGGGGAUGACGGCCU
rnacentral:rRNA from 1 species